GAUGAACGCUGGCGGCGUGCCUCAAACAUGCAAGUCGAGCGGGGCUAUGUAAUAUCGCAAGGUAGAACAUAGCCUAGCGGCGAACGGGUGAGUAACACGUGGGUAACCUGCCUGGAAGACAGGGAUAACGAUUCGAAAGGGUCGCUAAUACCUGAUAAUAUCCUUUCAUCGCAUGGUGAUAGGAAGAAAGGGGAAACCCGCUUUCAGAUGGGCCCGCGUCCCAUCAGCUAAUUGGUAAGGUAAAGGCUUACCAAGGCGACGACGGGUAGCCGGUCUGAGAGGAUGUACGGCCACACUGGGACUGAGAUACGGCCCAGACUCCUACGGGAGGCAGCAGUUGGGAAUCUUAGGCAAUGGACGAAAGUCUGACCUAGCGACGCCGCGUGAGGGAAGAAGGCCUUCGGGUUGUAAACCUCUGUCAUGGGGGAAGAAGUAAGUGACGGUACCCCAAGAGGAAGCCCCUGCUAACUACGUG
rnacentral:rRNA from 1 species